GAUUGAUUCGUCUCUUUAUUUAUUUGAUUGUUUUUUUGUUCGUUGCUGCUUUUUCUUUUUGUGUGUGUUGGAUGAUAUAUUUGAAAAAAUGAA
rnacentral:ribozyme from 11 species